rnacentral:misc_RNA from 1 species
UCCUGCACCGUUUUAUAACACCCGCCACUUCCAUCUUUACAAACUGUGACGUCCGCCGUUAGCUUUGACGGGAACCCACCGCGUAAACCCAGAUUACCGCCCGACCCGGAACCCUCCCAAAACCCGUCCCGCUCCGUCUUCGGUGGUGUCCACGACGUGGUCUGGUUCCCGUAUACGUCGUAAGCCAUAAGCAUGCUCAAAGCAUUGCUGGUUAUCAUUUGCAGUGUAUUCAAAAACGCCAUCGUUUCGUUGGUCUGCGACGUGUCGUUUGCGUACUUGAA